AUCUUGCUGGAGAUCUCUGUGUGCUGGAGGCCUUCUAAAGGCCAUUCUGGAAAGAAGCAUCUUCACCUGGAAAAGAGCACAUGCUGGCUGAGGAAGCCCUCCAUCUGCUGCUGGCUCCUGCUCCUGCUGCCUGAGGGGACGGCUGCUGGCUGCUGCCUUGUGUUUGUACAAGGGAAGGCUUGCAGGCUGCUUUGAGGCUCGGAGAGCCACUCGAACCAGACUGUGCAUGGAAGAAUGGAUGCCCAACGGUUGGAUUUGCCAACUCCAGAAGGAAGUGCCAGUUUCCAGGGAGGAAAUAAUUAUCUGAACACAUCCUCCUCAGAUCUGCCUCCCACUCCAGCAGCAGAGAGCAUCUGAAAGGAGCUGCCGGAGCAGCUGUUGUUCCAAGUGCAGCAUUCUCCAGUGGGUUUUCCUCCUGGAGCGAUCCUGAGCCCACGCUCAGAGUUAGGGCUGGAGGAAAGGUGCAUGAAUUGCCUGACUUGCACGGUGCUCUCGGCUGGCUCAGUGGAAGUGAUUCACUUGCUCGUGAGUGCGAAGUGUUCGUCGUCCCUCCUACCCACAGCAUGAUGUGGCUUCUACCCUUCCCCCUCUGUGCUCUUAUCUUCCGCUGCUUGGAGAGGCGGAGUGCUCAGCGGCUGUGAGGUUUGUGUGUCUGGAGGGGGUGGCAACUCGCCAGCCCACGGCAUGCUUCUUGUGCUGUGAAAUUGGAGCGGGUGAAUGCCAGCUACUUCAGUGGAAAAUGGGAGCAGUUCCUCUGCUGCCAAUGAGGGCUGCUGCCUGAAGGUACCACCGGGCUCCAAAGAGUGGAAGACUUUGCUUCUGGCUAUGUAUAACACACCUAUUCCUUUGACACACGUGAAUUGGUGUAUAUUACUGGGAAUUCCAGGAUGCUUAGCUGGGAAUGAACUCCUCUCUGUUUCACAACGUGACUCUGUGGUGUUUGUACUAGUUUAGAUUUGUUAAUUUUGUUUUGUCUGUUUGUUAUUUUCCACUGCUUCAGGCUGGGGAAUAGCAGCUGGCCGAGGCUUUGUACUGUCCAUGCCUUACCCUGGUUUUUAAGUUGUCUAAGUCUGAAUGAGCUGGGACUUAAGGGGCCUCAUAUGAAACCUCCAGGUGGCAGAUCUGAACCUAAGCAGGCCUCCUUCCACGUGCACUGCAGAGCAGUCGGAUGAAUCCGAGGAAGAAAUGUCCAUUGAGGACUAUUAAACACAAAAGCUUUCAUUACCGGGCCGCAGCCUGGGCACACGGCUAACGUGUUCCAUCCAGCAGGGCUUUGGGGACUGCUCCGAUCAGCUCAUCUGACUCCAUCAGCUGUCCAUCAGACGGCUGGGAAGUGCUCCCAGGGCUAACCUACACACGGUGUCAGCAACCCACCGCCUCUGCUCCCGUUGCUGCCUGCAUAAAGGUCACAGAUAACGAUUAAAAAUAAAUAAAUAAGCCAGGAGAACCCCCCAGCCUACCUCUGGGGUCACUCAGGUUUGAAAUAAAUCUCUCAUCUUU
ensembl:lncRNA